rnacentral:rRNA from 1 species
UACGGAGGGGGCUAGCGUUGUUCGGAAUUACUGGGCGUAAAGCGCACGUAGGCGGCGAUUUAAGUCAGAGGUGAAAGCCCGGGGCUCAACCCCGGAAUAGCCUUUGAGACUGGAUUGCUAGAAUCUUGGAGAGGCGAGUGGAAUUCCGAGUGUAGAGGUGAAAUUCGUAGAUAUUCGGAAGAACACCAGUGGCGAAGGCGGCUCGCUGGACAAGUAUUGACGCUGAGGUGCGAAAGCGUGGGGAGCA